rnacentral:rRNA from 1 species
UGCCAGCCGCCGCGGUAAUACGGAGGGAUCUAGCGUUAUUCGGAAUAACUGGGCGUAAAGCGCACGUAGGCGGAUUGGAAAGUUGGGGGUGAAAUCCCGGGGCUCAACCCCGGAACUGCCUCCAAAACUAUCAGUCUAGAGUUCGAGAGAGGUGAGUGGAAUUCCAAGUGUAGAGGUGAAAUUCGUAGAUAUUCGGAGGAACACCAGUGGCGAAGGCGGCUUACUGGCUCGAUACUGACGCUGAGGUGCGAAAGUGUGGGGAGCAAACAGGAUUAGAUA